UUGAUCAUGGCUCAGAACGAACGCUGGUAGCGUGGAUUAGGCAUGCAAGGUCGGACGGGAUCCGGAAGGUAGCAAUAUCGGCCGGUGAGAGUGGCGGACUGGGGAGGAACACGUGAGCAACUUGCCCGCAGGACGGGGAAAACCGUUGGAAACGACGGCUAAUACCGGAUGCGGCGCCUUGGGGACAUCCCCUUGGCGCCAAAGGGGGCCGCAAGGCUCCCGCCCGCGGAGAGGCUCGCGCACCAUCAGCUAGUUGGCGGGGUAACGGCCCACCAAGGCCUACGGUUAGCUGGUCUGAGAGGAUGACCAGCCCCACUGGGACUGAGACACUGCCCAGACUCCUACGGGAGGCUGCAGUCGAGGAUCAUUUGCAAUGGGCGAAAGCCUGACAAUGCGACGCUGCGUGGAGGAUGAAGGCCUUCGGGUUGUAAACUCCUGUCAUGGGGGAACAGGCGAGGGGACCCAAUACGUCCCUUAGUUGAGUGUACCCCAAGAGGAAUUGGCGGCUAACUCUGUGCCAGCCGCCGC
rnacentral:rRNA from 1 species